AUCGUAAAACUCUGUUGUAAGGGAAGAACAAGUACAGUAGUAACUGGCUGUACCUUGACGGUACCUUAUUAGAAAGCCACGGCUAACUACGUGCCAGCAGCCGCGGUAAUACGUAGGUGGCAAGCGUUGUCCGGAAUUAUUGGGCGUAAAGCGCGCGCAGGCGGUCCUUUAAGUCUGCUGUGAAAGCCCACGGCUCAACCGUGGAGGGUCAUUGGAAACUGGGGGACUUGAGUGCAGAAGAGGAAAGUGGAAUUCCAAGUGUAGCGGUGAAAUGCGUAGAGAUUUGGAGGAACACCAGUGGCGA
rnacentral:rRNA from 1 species